CCUACGGGGGGCAGCAGUGAGGAAUAUUGGUCAAUGGACGAGAGUCUGAACCAGCCAAGUCGCGUGAAGGAUGACUGCCCUACGGGUUGUAAACUUCUUUUAUAGGGGAAUAAAAUGAUCCACGUGUGGGAUUUUGUAUGUACCCUAAGAAUAAGGAUCGGCUAACUCCGUGCCCGCAGCCGGCGUAAUACGGAGGAUCCGAGCGGUAUCCGGAUUUAUUGGGUUUAAAAGGGGCGUAGGUGGAUUUUUAAGUCAGUUGUGAAAUUUUGGGGCUCAACCCGAGAAUUGCAGUUGAAACUGGCUGUCUUGAGUACAGGAGAGGUAGGCGGAAUGCGUGGUGUAGCGGUGAAAUGCUUAGAUAGCACGAAGAACUCCGAUUGCGAAGGCAGCUCACUGGAGUGCAACUGACGCUGAGGCUCGAAAGUGUGGGUAUCAAACAGGAUUAGAUACCCUUGUAGUC
rnacentral:rRNA from 1 species